rnacentral:rRNA from 1 species
AUUGAACGCUGGCGGCAUGCUUUACACAUGCAAGUCGAACGGUAACAGGUUAAGCUGACGAGUGGCGAACGGGUGAGUAAUGCAUCGGAACGUGCCCGGUCGUGGGGGAUAACGCAGCGAAAGCUGCGCUAAUACCGCAUACGAUCUGAGGAUGAAAGCGGGGGACCGGAAGGCCUCGCGCGAUCGGAGCGGCCGAUGUGAGAGUAGGGAGGUGGUGGGGUAAAGGCGCACCAAGCCGACGAGCUGUAGCCGGUCUGGGAGGACGACCAGCCACACUGGGACUGAGACACGGCCCAGACUCCUACGGGAGGCAGCAGUGGGGAAUUUUGGACAAUGGGCGCCAGCCUGAUCCAGCAAUGCCGCGUGCAGGAAGAAGGCCUUCGGGGUGUAAACUGCUUUUGUACGGAGCGAAAAGGCGCGCUCUAAUACAGGGGGCUCAUGACGGUACCGUAAGAAUAAGCACCGGCUAACUACGUGCCAGCAGCCGCGGUAA